UACGAAGGGGCUAGCGUUGCUCGGAAUCACUGGGCGUAAAGCGCACGUAGGCGGAUUGUUAAGUCAGGGGUGAAAUCCUGGAGCUCAACUCCAGAACUGCCUUUGAUACUGAAGAUCUUGAGUCCGGGAGAGGUGAGUGGAACUGCGAGUGUAGAGGUGAAAUUCGUAGAUAUUCGCAAGAACACCAGUGGCGAAGGCGGCUCACUGGCCCGGUACGUGACGCUGAGGCACGAAAGCGUGGGGAAGCAAACAGGG
rnacentral:rRNA from 1 species